CACAUGCUGCUAACCCGCUUUUUUAAUUGCUAGCACUCUCUCUUGGCCCAUCUAUCCCUACCACAGUAAUUACAUCAACUGCUACUGCUACCACAGUCAUAGAUUUGGUAUCUCAGGAUCGUGGUCUGUGUCCACCGCUACGAGAUUAUUGCCCCCGCGGACAGGAUGCUGCACCGCAUCUUGCAUUGUGCAACACAGACUACGGA